UACAGAGGUCCCAAGCGUUGUUCGGAUUCACUGGGCGUAAAGAGCUCGUAGGCGGUUUGUCGCGUCUGCUGUGAAAACGCGAGGCUCAACCUCGCGCCUGCAGUGGGUACGGGCAGACUAGAGUGCGGUAGGGGAGAUUGGAAUUCCUGGUGUAGCGGUGGAAUGCGCAGAUAUCAGGAGGAACACCGAUGGCGAAGGCAGAUCUCUGGGCCGUAACUGACGCUGAGGAGCGAAAAGCGUGGGGAGCGAACAGG
rnacentral:rRNA from 1 species